rnacentral:rRNA from 1 species
UACAGAGGGUGCGAGCGUUGUCCGGAAUCACUGGGCGUAAAGGGCGCGUAGGCGGCCUGAUAAGUAGGGGGUGAAAUCCUGUGGCUUAACUGCAGGGCUGCCUCCUAGACUGUUAGGCUCGAGCACGGUAGAGGCAGAUGGAAUUCCCGGUGUAGCGGUGGAAUGCGUAGAGAUCGGGAAGAACGAUCGGUGGCGAAGGCGGUCUGCUGGGCCGUUGCUGACGCUGAGGCGCGACAGCGUGGGGAGCAAACAGG